ACCUGAUGCAACUGAACCACUAUAUCCAGCUGAGAACAAUCAACAUCGGAGAGGGCACGGCACUCUACAAUGAUGGAAGAUCUUUCAACUUAAUAUUAUUGAGGAGAUUUUAAUUUAGGUUUCUUUAAUCCUUUAAUUGUUAAUUUAUAUCUCAUGUAAAUCCAUAAUUACAAUGGAUCUAAUCCUAAUUAGUCAUAACUAUUAUGACUAACCCUAAGGGCUAAGGGCAUGGACUAGCUUAAAUCACUAAGCAACCACAUCAAGACUAAUCAACUAAAUUGAUUAGGUAAGUGUA
rnacentral:lncRNA from 1 species